GAGCAAAACGGGCCCGGAUUUGGGAUCACACCGUUUUUCGCCCAUAUUUUUGGAAAUAUCAUAGCUAGGACAAUUUGGCUGGCGCCAUUGGAUUCGUGAGACGAUUUCCGAUUUUUCUAGGAGUCCGGGAAUUUUCUAAAGUCGAUUUUUGAUGUGAAACAUCUAUAGGCGCACCCCUAAACUGAAUCGUUGGCCUGGCGAUACUUGCCGUGGCGAGCAUUCGCCAGGCUAUACUAAGGUAUGCCUAUCUAUAUUCUGUGUAGUAGAGUGUACGGCGUGGCUUCUCACUCAGUUCGACGUUGUUGUUUACUACGGUACACAUAACCUGCGUUUUAUUUAAUUUUUCAUUUUAAUUUUUGACAAUAAAAUAUGUGUGACAGUGAUAACUCAGAAGAUCAAAGUGAUCAACCUUGUGCAAAGAAAGUGAAACUACACUAUGGUAUACUACCAAGUCAUCAUUCCCAACAAUCAUCAGAAGGAUCACAAAAUAUUAUUAUUGAAACUGGACGUCACCCUGAUCAGUUAAACACAAGGCAUACUAUCAAUGUUGUGUCAGACUUUAUUAAUCGAAUAGUACCAGACUAUUUUAAACUAUUGCAUCUAUUGGAAAUGUGUGUUCUUCACAUGUUAAACUACAAGACGGAAGUGAAUUAAUUAUGAUUGUAAUAUACAUUUCACCUAAUAACAAAAUGGAUCAUCUCAUUUCAUUUUUACAUGAAAGGUUAUUUCCUUAUAGUCAAACAGGUUCAAUAAUUCUUAAAGCGAAUAAACAUAAACUACCAUUAUUUUUAGCUGCAUAUUUCAGUGUAAAUUUUGCAAGAGCUGAAUCAAUGCCAUUAAUGACAUUUCUUCAAAAAGAAUUUCAAUGGCAAAUCAAUAACGAUCCAAAAGAAUCUACUACCAAAUAUGGAACAACAAUAGAUGCUGUAUUUGUGAGAUAUCUUGAUGGUGUUUCAUCCAAUACUUUUGUAACGUACUUUAGUUAUCAUCGACCAAUCGUCACAGUAAUACCGGCAGAGGAAAAAUCGAAUAUAACUAUUAUUGAAGCCACAGAUGAAAAUAUUUAAAUUGUGGCAACUUGAUACUAAUAUCGAAUUUUUAUAUCAUGUAAAUAAAUGUUUAUUAAAUAAAGUUACCAUUUACUGUAAGAAUCUCGUAAUACUUCAUUUUUUCAUUAGGCUAUAUUUAAUUCCUGUAAUAAUAUUAUCUUUUAUGCAUAUUACUUGUACACACACGAUGUUUCACAUCUGCCAGGCGUCCCAUGACGGCUCAUUUUUGAUGUGAAACAUCUAUAGGCGCACCCCUAAACUGAAUCGUUGGCCUGGCGAUACUUGCCGUGGCGAGCAUUCGCCAGGCUAUACUAAGGUAUGCCUAUCUAUAUUCUGUGUAGUAGAGUGUACGGCGUGGCUUCUCACUCAGUUCGACGUUGUUGUUUACUACGGUACACAUAACCUGCGUUUUAUUUAAUUUUUCAUUUUAAUUUUUGACAAUAAAAUAUGUGUGACAGUGAUAACUCAGAAGAUCAAAGUGAUCAACCUUGUGCAAAGAAAGUGAAACUACACUAUGGUAUACUACCAAGUCAUCAUUCCCAACAAUCAUCAGAAGGAUCACAAAAUAUUAUUAUUGAAACUGGACGUCACCCUGAUCAGUUAAACACAAGGCAUACUAUCAAUGUUGUGUCAGACUUUAUUAAUCGAAUAGUACCAGACUAUUUUAAACUAUUGCAUCUAUUGGAAAUGUGUGUUCUUCACAUGUUAAACUACAAGACGGAAGUGAAUUAAUUAUGAUUGUAAUAUACAUUUCACCUAAUAACAAAAUGGAUCAUCUCAUUUCAUUUUUACAUGAAAGGUUAUUUCCUUAUAGUCAAACAGGUUCAAUAAUUCUUAAAGCGAAUAAACAUAAACUACCAUUAUUUUUAGCUGCAUAUUUCAGUGUAAAUUUUGCAAGAGCUGAAUCAAUGCCAUUAAUGACAUUUCUUCAAAAAGAAUUUCAAUGGCAAAUCAAUAACGAUCCAAAAGAAUCUACUACCAAAUAUGGAACAACAAUAGAUGCUGUAUUUGUGAGAUAUCUUGAUGGUGUUUCAUCCAAUACUUUUGUAACGUACUUUAGUUAUCAUCGACCAAUCGUCACAGUAAUACCGGCAGAGGAAAAAUCGAAUAUAACUAUUAUUGAAGCCACAGAUGAAAAUAUUUAAAUUGUGGCAACUUGAUACUAAUAUCGAAUUUUUAUAUCAUGUAAAUAAAUGUUUAUUAAAUAAAGUUACCAUUUACUGUAAGAAUCUCGUAAUACUUCAUUUUUUCAUUAGGCUAUAUUUAAUUCCUGUAAUAAUAUUAUCUUUUAUGCAUAUUACUUGUACACACACGAUGUUUCACAUCUGCCAGGCGUCCCAUGACGGCUCAUUUUUGAUGUGAAACAUCUAUAGGCGCACCCCUAAACUGAAUCGUUGGCCUGGCGAUACUUGCCGUGGCGAGCAUUCGCCAGGCUAUACUAAGGUAUGCCUAUCUAUAUUCUGUGUAGUAGAGUGUACGGCGUGGCUUCUCACUCAGUUCGACGUUGUUGUUUACUACGGUACACAUAACCUGCGUUUUAUUUAAUUUUUCAUUUUAAUUUUUGACAAUAAAAUAUGUGUGACAGUGAUAACUCAGAAGAUCAAAGUGAUCAACCUUGUGCAAAGAAAGUGAAACUACACUAUGGUAUACUACCAAGUCAUCAUUCCCAACAAUCAUCAGAAGGAUCACAAAAUAUUAUUAUUGAAACUGGACGUCACCCUGAUCAGUUAAACACAAGGCAUACUAUCAAUGUUGUGUCAGACUUUAUUAAUCGAAUAGUACCAGACUAUUUUAAACUAUUGCAUCUAUUGGAAAUGUGUGUUCUUCACAUGUUAAACUACAAGACGGAAGUGAAUUAAUUAUGAUUGUAAUAUACAUUUCACCUAAUAACAAAAUGGAUCAUCUCAUUUCAUUUUUACAUGAAAGGUUAUUUCCUUAUAGUCAAACAGGUUCAAUAAUUCUUAAAGCGAAUAAACAUAAACUACCAUUAUUUUUAGCUGCAUAUUUCAGUGUAAAUUUUGCAAGAGCUGAAUCAAUGCCAUUAAUGACAUUUCUUCAAAAAGAAUUUCAAUGGCAAAUCAAUAACGAUCCAAAAGAAUCUACUACCAAAUAUGGAACAACAAUAGAUGCUGUAUUUGUGAGAUAUCUUGAUGGUGUUUCAUCCAAUACUUUUGUAACGUACUUUAGUUAUCAUCGACCAAUCGUCACAGUAAUACCGGCAGAGGAAAAAUCGAAUAUAACUAUUAUUGAAGCCACAGAUGAAAAUAUUUAAAUUGUGGCAACUUGAUACUAAUAUCGAAUUUUUAUAUCAUGUAAAUAAAUGUUUAUUAAAUAAAGUUACCAUUUACUGUAAGAA